CUUAACUACAUGACAAUGUUUGUGGACAACGUUUCAAUUGUUUUGUUUUAAUGUAAAGUCAACUUACAUUGCCCCAGGGAUACGUCAAAGAGUGAAGGACAUUUCCCUCUAUGAGACAACAAAUGUUAAAGUGUUUUUGUGAGGAACACAAUUUUCUUUUUUUCAAAUAAAACAAGAAAAAUUGUGUGGCUUGAAUUUAAGUAACACAGAUUUUUUAUCUUUAACUUGAAUUGGUUUUUUUCCCAAAAUUAUAUCUCAUAUGAAAAUUCUUAUCACUUAGGUUUGGCUAUGUAAUAUAGAAAUCUUCAAGCUUCGUGGGGUCCAUGUCAAUGGCAAUUUUAGGAUCAAUUCUUACAGGGCACAUGCCCCUCAGCUGCAUUGCAAAAUUGAAAUUUUAAGUGGGAUCGAUUCUGUUCCUGGGGCUGAAGUUGUAGAUUCUUGGUUGGGAGGUGCCGCCCAAAGAAAGAGUUAAAGUCUUGGUUGGGAGGUGCCACUCAAAGAAAGAAACAAAAGAGAAAGAAGAAAAAGAAGAAUUUAGUACCGCCCAAAGGAAAUUUUUUUUUUAAUUUAAUAGCCAUUUUUUGGCUAUAAAAGGGAGAGCUCCCCAUUUCAUUUAGCAUCCAAUUUUGCAGAGAGAGUUGAGAGUUGUGAGAAGUAAUUCUUGUAGAGCAAAGAAUUUUGUGUGCUCAGUGAUUUGAGAGUUUGGGUGUAUUGGGGUUUUGGGUAGUGAGCUAAAAUACUACAAUAUUUGUAACUCCUUUUCACUAGUAUAAUAUUUUCCUUCUGUCUUCGCCCAUGGACGUAGGCUAAAAGCCGAACCACGUAAUUUCUGGUAUUCUCUUUUGUUCUUGUUUUUUAUUUUCUUCCAAUUUUACUUUAGCUGCAUGUCUGCCUCACCCACCAGCAGCUACGUUCUGACUUUCAGACCUUCCAGCAGCAGAGCAUUGAUCAGCAGCUUGAGCUUAUUGCUGGACAGCGCACUCUUCUCCGCUAUUUCGGCUAUGAUCCGGGGAGCACAUCUUCUCCACCUCCAUAGUUUCUGAGUUCUAUUUUCGCACAUACAUUUCAUAUUUUGGUUGUUUGCGUGUUUCCAUUUAUAUUUUUAUACACACUGUUACCUCUAUAUGCUCUUUCUGGAUUUUGAUGACAUAUUUUUGUGAUGUUCUUGAUGUUGGAUGACUUGGUAAUUGGUUGAUGAAAUUGUUGGUUUCUUGGAUAUUGAAGUGUUGGUUUGUUUGUUCAUGGCGUUGUUGGUUUGUUGAAAGAUGGAAUUGUUGUUAAUAUAUUUUGGAAGUGUUUUAAUCUCAUUUUGUAUUAG
rnacentral:lncRNA from 1 species